ensembl:lncRNA
GUGUAAACACAGAGGUGUCUGUGUAAAGUUGGUGUAAACACAGAGGUGUCGGUGUAAACACAGAGGUGUCGGUGUAAAGUUGGUGUAAACACAGAGGUGUCGGUGUAAACACAGAGGUGUCGGUGUAAAGUUGGUGUAAACACAGAGGUGUCGGUGUAAACACAGAGGUGUCGGUGUAAAUUUGGUGUAAACACAGAGGUGUCGGUGUAAAGUUGGUGUAAACACAGAGGUGUCGGUGUAAACACAGAGGUGUCGGUGUAAAUUUGGUGUAAACACAGAGGUGUCGGUGUAAAGUUGGUGUAAACACAGAGGUGUUGGUGUAAACACAGAGGUGUCGGUGUAAACACAGAGGUGUCGGUGUAAAGUUGGUGUAAACACAGAGGUGUCGGUGUAAAUUUGGUGUAAACACAGAGGUGUUGGUGUAAAUUUGGUGUAAACACAGAGGUGUCGGUGUAAAGUUGGUGUAAACACAGAGGUGUUGGUGUAAACACAGAGGUGUUGGUGUAAACACAGAGGUGUUGGUGUAAAUUUGGUGUAAACACAGAGGUGUUGGUGUAAACACAGAGGUGUCGGUGUAAACACAGAGGUGUUGAUGUAAAGUUGGUGUAAACACAGAGGUGUCGGUGUAAACACAGAGGUGUCGGUGUAAACACAGAGGUGUCGGUGUAAACACAGAGGUGUUGUCCGUCUCUGACCUUGAGGCUGAUUGGACGGUCAGCGCUGGUGUUUCCGCUGCAGGUCACUGCGUCCUGUUUCUCCCGAGAGACGGACGACUCGUAGCCUCCGUCCUCCAGCUGCACGAUCACUUCCUCCUCUUCCUCCUCUUCCUCGCCCUCGUCCUCCCAGCUGAUUGGCUCAGGUCUGACAGCAGUGGAGGAAACAGCAAGAGGAGAAAAUCAGACGGAAUAUUUAGUUAGAGAGACUCGACAGCUUUAUUCUGAAAGGCCACGAGGUACAUUUUAUUGUGAAAUGUAAUCAGAACCUGCACCUCUAACACAUCUGGACGUUUCACUCUUGACAGAACGAAUCAACAGAGAAUUGUUUGUGGUUCUUCAGAACAUGUUGACCUGCCGAGCACACAGAGCGACCCGACCUGAAGACCCAGCGGGCUCAACAGUUCUUGUUCGUCGGAGCCGGAGUGGCUUUAAAGGAGCUUGGACUGGUUUGAGCCUUCAUCCUCCUCAUCCUCACUGACUUCAUCUACAGCUAACGACUGGAUGAAGACGAGCUGGACGCUCAUCAUCAUCACUGACACGUCUCAGAACCAGAACACAGAACAGCUGCUCCAAGAACACAGCAGGUCCCAGCUGGAUCAAUACGUAUUGAUACAAUAUCAGUGAUCAUCUAAUUAUCAGCUCAUAUGAAUCAACUCAACAUAUCGCGUUUAGAAACAAUAAAAAAUCAUUCAAACUUUAAACUUCAAUUGUUU